rnacentral:sRNA from 1 species
GAUCUAAGGACCGCCCAUGUUUCGAUGGA